rnacentral:rRNA from 1 species
UACGUAGGGGGGCAAGCGUUGUCCGGAAUCAUUGGGCGUAAAGCGCGCGUAGGUGGCCUCAUAAGUCCGCUGUGAAAGUCAAAAGGCUCAACCUUUGAAAGCCGGUGGAUACUGUGAGGCUAGAGUACGGAAGAGGCGAGUGGAAUUCCUGGUGUAGCGGUGAAAUGCGUAGAGAUAUGGAGGAACACCAGUGGCGAAGGCGGCUUCCUGGUCUGUAACUGACACUGAGGCGCGAAAGCGUGGGGAGCAAACAGG